rnacentral:lncRNA from 1 species
AGAUCACUGGGGAUGAUGGUGAGUGGUGUCACUUCCACUUCCAUCCCUUUAAUCCUGGAGCCGUGAGUCCUGGCUAUGGGAGAAACAGUGCCAUAUAUGGGAUGCUGAUUCAGAGCAUACACAGUCUUCUGGAGAACUUUACCCCAGGUCUGCAAAGUAUUGUUACCUAGUUGGCAUUGUAAUUGUGACUUCAAAAGGCCGUUCCAUCAUUUUAUCAAUUCAGCUGCUUCAGGAUGACAGAUAACAUGCAGACUACCUGGUCAUGUGGCCACGUUCUCAUGGUGAUGUCAGAGGGAAGAGUGCCAGCAGAAGUACUCUGCUUAGAUCACAUCUUCUAUCAUCCCCUUGUCCAAAGUAAGUCAUGUGAUCAAACCCUGAGCCAGAAGUGAGGAGACAUUCCAGUUAUACAGUAAUGGGUGUAGCUACAGGCAGCAUGGCAGAUUUGGCCAUUAAUGUAAUCAAUCUUCCACCAUAUUGAAAACAUUUUUAGUUUUCUCUAUUUUUAGAUGCUAUUCUUGGUUCCUGAUCUGGUGUUGCCAUCAACAUGCUAAUUGUUCCUGUACACUUGCAAACUCAUUAAACCUGAGAAAGA